GACAGAGGGUGCAAACGUUGUUCGGAUUUACUGGGCGUAAAGCGCGUGUAGGCGGCUUGGCAAGUCGGAUGUGAAAGCCCACGGCUCAACCGUGGAAGCGCAUCCGAAACUGCUUCGCUCGAGUCUCGGAGAGGAAGGUGGAAUGCUUGGUGUAGAGGUGAAAUUCGUAGAUAUCAAGCAGAACACCUGCGGCGAAGGCGGCCUUCUGGACGAUGACUGCGCUGAGACGCGAAAGCGUGGGGAGCAAACAGG
rnacentral:rRNA from 1 species